AAUGAACGCUGGCGGCAUGCCUAACACAUGCAAGUCGAACGGCAACACAGGAAGAUCUUUCUCUUACGGAUGGCGGGUGGCGGGCGUGUGACGAAUGCAUCCGGAUCUACUUUGGCGGGGAAGAUUACGUAACGAAACUUACGAUAACACCGUAUACGACCUACCGGUGAAUUCACUUGAUAGUUGCACUUUGCGCGAUUCAAUAAGGCGAUGCCGGGUUUGCUAUAUGGCGGGGUAAAGGCCCACCAAGGCGACGAGCCGCAGCCGGGCUGAGAGGUUGAUCAGCCACACUGGAACGGAGACACGGCCCAGACUCCUACGGGAGGCAGCAGUGGGGAAUAUUGGACAAAGGGCGCAAGCCUGAUCCAGCCAUCCCGCGUGGGUGAAGAAGGCCUUCGGGUUGUAAAGCCCUUUUGUUGGGAAAGAAAAGCAGCAGGUUAAUACACCGCUGUUCUGACGGUACCCAAAGAAUAAGCACCGGCUAACUUCGUG
rnacentral:rRNA from 1 species